rnacentral:snoRNA from 1 species
GGCCUCCAAAUUCCUUGUCGCUCAGAUCUAAAUAUUGGUCUGAGUGGCUAACAUAGGAGGAAAAGUAAAACUGAAGUGGACUUGGGUCUUUAAUGACUUACAAGUUCAUUUCAAACAUAG